rnacentral:rRNA from 1 species
UGAACGCUGGCGGCAGGCCUAACACAUGCAAGGCGAGCGGAUGAAGGGAGCUUGCUCCUGGCUUCAGCGGCGGACGGGUGAGUAAUGCCUAGGAAUCUGCCUGGUAGGGGGGGAUAACGUCCGGAAACGGGCGCUAAUACCGCAUACGUCCUGAGGGAGAAAGUGGGGGAUCUUCGGACCUCACGCUAUCAGAUGAGCCUAGGUCGGAUUAGCUAGUUGGUGGGGUAAAGGCCUACCAAGGCGACGAUCCGUAACUGGUCUGAGAGGAUGAUCAGUCACACUGGAACUGAGACACGGUCCAGACUCCUACGGGAGGCAGCAGUGGGGAAUAUUGGACAAUGGGCGAAAGCCUGAUCCAGCCAUGCCGCGUGUGUGAAGAAGGUCUUCGGAUUGUAAAGCACUUUAAGUUGGGAGGAAGGGCAGUAAGUUAAUACCUUGCUGUUUUGACGUUACCAACAGAAUAAGCACCGGCUAACUUCGUG